rnacentral:rRNA from 1 species
UACAGAGGGGGCAAGCGUUGUUCGGAAUUACUGGGCGUAAAGGGCGCGUAGGCGGCCUGUUAAGUCGAACGUGAAAUCCCUGGGCUCAACCCAGGAACUGCGUCCGAUACUGGCAGGCUUGAAUUCGGGAGAGGGAUGCGGAAUUCCAGGUGUAGCGGUGAAAUGCGUAGAUAUCGGGAGGAACACCUGUGGCGAAAGCGGCUCACUGGACCACAACUGACGCUGAGGCGGCGAAAAGCUGAGGG